CCGUCCCCACCCCAGCUCUAGCUCUGCCAGGGAGGCCCAGGCAGGGAGGUGAGCCCCUCCGGAGCAGCCUAAUUGCCACUGUCACAGCUCAAGUGUGUCGCCGUGGGAAUGGGCUAUUUCUAAGCACGGCAGGUACCGUCUUCCCCUUCCCCCGCCAACACAGCUGGCCCAGGACAAGAAGGUGCAGAGACAAACAGGGGGCACCCUGCCUGUCCUGCUAGGAACUGCAAGGCAGCGUGCCGCACACGGGAUGUGGGGAGAAGGGGAAUCCACCUUUUCCUUCCCUCCCACCUCCCACCCGUUUCCUGCAGUGCUGGCUGCUUGUUACCGUGAGACUGACAGGUACCCCAGAGCUGAGCUUGUGCCUGCCAGAGCCUUCAUCCAACUAACCCCCGAUCCUUUGGGCCCUUUCUUUCCCUUCUUUCCUUUGCUUCUUUUUUUUUUUUUUUUUUUUUUUUUUUUUGUAGAGGCAGAGUCUCUUGCGUUGCCCAGGCUGGUCACACACUCCUGGCCUCAAGUGAUUUUCCUGCCUCGGCCUCCCAAAGUGCUGGGAUUACUGGCAUGAGCCUGGCCUGCAGCGUUUUGAAGCAUGUUUCUAGGGCAGGUGGUCAGCAGACCGGAAGCCACGGCCCCACCACCCAGGCCUCUGUUUUCUCCCUGGUAGAGCAGGGAUGCAGCAGCCCCGGCUUCCAGGGUCCCCCUGAGGAAGCCCAGGCCACCCAGUUCUGAGCAAUGGGGGUUGGGCAGUUUCUCCAGGUCCAGUGGUUCCAUUAGACCCAAGUGGACUGGAGCACAGUGGACCCUCAGGGCUCACGGUGGACCCUCGGGGCUCAGAGUGGACCCUCAGGCCCUCACAGCAGACCCUUAGCACUCAUAGUGGACCCUCGGGCUCACGGCGGACCCUCAGGUGCUCAGAUACUUUGCACUUAGGAAAGGAGCUAUGCCUCUUGGUGACCAGGUCACGUAGGAAAUGAGCCUAACCUGGAACCCGCCCCUUGACUACCUGACCUCUAGUACAGACAGGCAGCGAGUCGGCAGGUGAGUGGCAGCAGUCAGGCCCAAAGGGCCACUGACCACUGGCUGUCCCCUGGUGCAGAGAGGAAAACUGAGGCUCAGAGGGCCCAUGAGGCCAGGAAGUAGAGUCAGGUCCCACCGAGGGGCUUCUGCUGACCCAAGACCCUGUGGAGGGAACCUGGAAGUGGAGGGACCUGCAGGUGCCCUGUAUUCCCCCCAGGGGCUUGCCAUCCUCCUGCCCUCCCAGCGCCCAGGAGGCUGAGCCUUGGCAAGAUGGCAGCUUUUGCCUAAAAUGCAUCAAAGUGAGCAGAAAGAGUGGUGAGCAAAGUAGAAUCUGCUUGUUUCCGAGGAUCAGCGAGAAGGCACAUGUGAAGCUCACCCCGGUUCUGUCUGUUUCUGCUCUCCUACGAAGACCCCAUAUGGAGCCAGUGACAACCGGGGCCCGUGGGGAAGGCAGGACGAGGACUGGGCCACGCUGCUCAGCACAGGGUCAGCUGGCUGGACUAGGGUGGGCUGGCCAGGCGCGGAGUGGGCUGGUCAGGCGUGGGCUGGGCUGGUCAGGCGUGGGGUGGGGUGGUCAGGCGUGGGGUGGGGUGGUGAGGUGAGGGAUUGUCUGGUCAGGUGUGGAGUGGGCUGGUCAGGUGUGGGCUGGGCUGGUCAGGUGUGAGGUGGGGUGGUGAGGUGAGGGGUUGUCUGGUCAGGUGUGGAGUGGGCUGGUCAGGUGUGGGCUGGGCUGGUCAGGUGUGGGGUCGGCUGGUCAGGUGUGGGCUGGGCUGGGCUGGUCAGGUGUGGGGUCGGCUGGUCAGGUGUGGGCUGGGCUGGUCAGGUGUGGGGUGGGCUGGUCAGGUGUGGGCUGGGCUGGUCAGGUGUGGGCUGGGCUGGUCAGGUGUGCGGUGGGCUGGGCUGGUCAGGUGUGGGCUGGGCUGGUCAGGUGUGGGGUCGGAUGGUCAGGCGUGGGCUGGGCUGGUCAGGCGUGGGGCGGGCUGGUCAGGCGUGGGCUGGGCUGGGCUGGUCUGGUGUGGACUGGGCUGGUCAGGCGUGGGGUGGGCUGGUCAGGCGUGGGGUCGGCUGGUCAGGUGAGGGGUCGGCUGGUCAGGCGUGGGCUGGGCUGCUCAGGCGUGGGCUGGACUGGUCAGGCGUGGGCUGGGCUGGUCAGGCGUGGGCUGGGCUGGUCAGAUGUGGGCUGGGCUGGUCAGGUGAGGGGUCGGCUGGUCAGGCGUGGGCUGGGCUGGUCAGGCGUGGGGUGGGCUGGUCAGGCGUGGGCUGGGCUGGUCAGGUGUGGGCUGGGCUGGUCAGGUGUGGAGUGGGGUGGUGAGGUGAGGGGUUGUCU
rnacentral:lncRNA from 1 species